rnacentral:misc_RNA from 1 species
GAUGAAGAACGUAGCGAAAUGCGAUAAGUAGUGUGAAUUGCAGAAUUCAGUGAAUCAUCGAAUCUUUGAACGCACAUUGCGCCUUCUAGUAUUCUGGGAGGCAUGCCUGUUUGAGCGUCAUUAAACCUCUCUCAAGUAUGAUUACUUGGAUGUGAAGGAAGAGUACCUUAAACUUAAGGAGUGUCCUCCUUUGAAAUUGAUUAGCAGAUGGUAAUGUUAUUAAAUCCCUGAUGUUGUAAGAAAUAACAGUGGUUUUGUAGACUAUUAUCUAGCUUUAAAUUAUAAUUUUUAUUAUGGUUGACCUCAAAUCAGGUAAGGAUACCCGCUGAACUUAAGCAUAUCAAUAAGCGGAGGA